GACGAACGCUGGCGGCGUGCUUAACACAUGCAAGUCGAACGGAAAGGCCCUGCUUUUGUGGGGUGCUCGAGUGGCGAACGGGUGAGUAACACGUGAGUAACCUGCCCUUGACUUUGGGAUAACUUCAGGAAACUUGGGCUAAUACCGGAUAGGAGCUCCUGCUGCAUGGUGGGGGUUGGAAAGUUUCGGCGGUUGGGGAUGGACUCGCGGCUUAUCAGCUUGUUGGUGGGGUAGUGGCUUACCAAGGCCUUGACGGGUAGCCGGCCUGGGAGGGUGACCGGCCACAUUGGGACUGGGCUGCGGCCCAGACUCCUACGGGAGGCAGCAGUGGGGAAUAUUGCACAAUGGGCGGAAGCCUGAUGCAGCCACGCCGCGUGCGGGAUGACGGCCUUCGGGUUGUAAACCGCUUUCGCCUGUGACGAAGCGUGAGUGACGGUAAUGGGUAAAGAAGCACCGGCUAACUACGUG
rnacentral:rRNA from 1 species